UCGACAAGUAGGCUUACGACCUCGAUGUUGGAUCAGGGUCCCUGGUGGUGCAGCCGCUACCAAAGGUUCGUUUGUUCAACGAUUAAAACCCUACGUGAUCUGAGUUCAGACCGGAGUAAUCCAGGUCGGUUUCUAUCUAUAAGAAGCCUCCCCUAGUACGAAAGGACCGAGAAGGCAGGGCCAAUAAAAAACUCAAGCCUUAUCAAACAAUUUAUGUCUAUACUCAAUGAGAUUAUUUGACCAAAAUUACUAACAUUAUCCUCCCAAAACUAGGGUA
rnacentral:rRNA from 1 species